rnacentral:lncRNA from 1 species
CUGUGUUUUAACUCCAAUUAAUAAUUCAAGCACGUUAGGUGAAAGAACAGCCCGAAAAUAAGUAAAACACACACCAAAUCAUUGUGGGAGAAUGGGUUCAGGGUGAAGUGAACCAAUUACAUACAUUAUACUCUCAAACUCUGGUCAACCCAAAGACUCAUUAAGCCUUAUGUUUUCAUCCCGCAGGCGUAUAUAUAAGACCUGCUAGGAGAGACUGAAUGCUCCAUAGGAGCUCUGCCCGAAGGGUAGCGACCCCCUCUGACAUAGACCUGAACCAAGGGGUGAUAAUCCCCUUGAACAGUACCUACGAUUCGACUGAUUAUAUUUACAUAAAUAACCUGAGUCUAUGGGCCUGAAGUUGACCAUUGGGAACACUUCAACCCCACAAAUACACAGCAUGUGUAUUCCCCAUAGACGAACUCCCACCACAGCUGUAUUUGUAUACAAGACAGCUGCUGCCAGAUGAUAGUUAGACAUAUAUUUGGGUGUUACCAUCACUCAUACUAUAGCUGGAUAGUCAGGGAGGCCAGAAAAAACCUGGAAUAUACAGGAAACCUGGAUGGGGCCAAGACAACCAGCAGCUUCCCCACAAAGCUUCUAUCUUACAAUUUUUUAAUUGGAGGGUUGGUAACACGUUUUGCACAACAUUUAUUUGUUAACCACACUUAUUUUAUUUCAAUUAUGAUCAGUGGACCUUUCUCGAAUUAUGUGACAUUACUCUCAGAAAAAUAGCUUAGGGGCCAUUCACAAAGGAUGUCCGAGCCGAGGGGGGUGAGGGGGGUUUGGAAAAUCAGGACAAACUCGGACAUAGGGGGGGAGGGGGGGUUUUUAGCAAUCCGGAUGUCCGAAAUUUAAAAAAAAUUUUCCCUCUAUUUUGAGCAGUCCUUCCCAUUGUGAAAUUGGCAUUUUGACUAUGCGGUUAACACUAGAUUUUGUUUUAAUUAGUAAUUUAUAUGUUUUUGUGUUCACAUUUACAGUUAUAAAAAAGUUCUAAAAGUAAAAAAAGUUUUUUACUCUUGAUAUAUACAAGGUUGCGUGAGUUUUUGCGAGGCAUGGCGGAUGUCCGGGGGGUCACUAAUUCGGACAAUGCCGGACAAGGGGGGGAGGGGGGGUCUGAAAAUCCAUCAUUUGGCCGGACAUCCUUUGUGAAUGGCCCCUUAUUCAUUACUUCAAAAUAGCAAGACCAAAAUUUUGCGAUCGAACAUCCGAUCAUGCAUGCAUGAUAUUAGCAGAAAGAAAUUGUAAGAAUAUGUAUGUGGUAGUCAAAAUAGAUUAUAUGCAGUAAAUAAUAGUACAUCAAAGGAUUUUCAAUUUUCAAAAGCGUAGGCAUACAUGGUAUCGUACUAAUCUUUCCUUAUAUCCAUCUUGGCAUCUUGCCGAUUUAUCGCAAAUGUGCAUAAACAUAUAUCAUGUGCAGAGUUUUAAGUCUCAAAUUUCGUUCACAAAUGAGCUUGCUUUCUUAAGUUUUGAACAGUAAAGUAUUGAAAAUGUAUGCAGGUCAAAUUAAUUUUGUGAAAUAGCUGAAAAAGAAGUUUUAUAAUUCUACUUUUGAGCGAUUGAAUACAGUUUAAUGUAAGGCCUGAUUGAAACCCAAUCCAACGCCAAAUCUGAGGCGUAGUCUGAAGCCUUUAAUCUGCGGCUAAUCUCAAGGUAGUAAUAAAAUUGUCAUUGGAAUUUUUGAUCGACAAAUAUAAAUACACCAAAAUCACGGAAUGUUGUUAUAAAA